rnacentral:tRNA from 1 species
CCCCUGGUGGCGAAACUGGUUAGACGCGGUAGACUCAAAAUCUACUGCCUGUACGGGCAUGAGAGUUCGACUCUCUCCUAGGGGA